rnacentral:rRNA from 1 species
CCUACGGGUGGCUGCAGUGAGGAAUAUUGGGCAAUGGAGGCAACUCUGACCCAGCCAUGCCGCGUGAGUGAAGAAGGUUUUCGGAUUGUAAAGCUCUUUCGGAUGUGACGAUGAUGACGGUAGCAUCUAAAGAAGCCCCGGCUAACUUCGUGCCAGCAGCCGCGGUAAUACGUAGGGGGCAAGCGGUGUUCGGAAUUACUGGUGGUAAAGGGAGUGGAGGCGGUUUGGUAAGAUGGGUGUGAAAUCCCAGGGCUUAAUCUUGGAAUUGCAAUUAUAACUAUUAGACUAGAAUUACAGAGAGGAUAGUAGAAUACCAAGUGUAGAGGUGAAAUGCGUAGAUAUUGGGUAGAACACCAGUGGCGAAGGCGACUAUCUGGCUGUACAUUGACGCUGAGGCUCGAAAGCAUGGGGAUCAAACAGGAUUAGAUACCCGGGUAGUC